rnacentral:rRNA from 1 species
CCUACGGGGUGCAGCAGUGGGGAAUAUUGGACAAUGGGCGAAAGCCUGAUCCAGCCAUGCCGCGUGUGUGAAGAAGGCCUUCGGGUUGUAAAGCACUUUCAGUGGGGAAGAAAGCCUUGGGGCUAAUACCCUCGAGGAAGGACAUCACCCACAGAAGAAGCACCGGCUAACUCCGUGCCAGCAGCCGCGGUAAUACGGAGGGUGCGAGCGGUAAUCGGAAUUACUGGGCGUAAAGCGCGCGUAGGCGGUCUGAUAAGCCGGUUGUGAAAGCCCCGGGCUCAACCUGGGAACGGCAUCCGGAACUGUCAGGCUAGAGUGCAGGAGAGGAAGGUAGAAUUCCCGGUGUAGCGGUGAAAUGCGUAGAGAUCGGGAGGAAUACCAGUGGCGAAGGCGGCCUUCUGGACUGACACUGACGCUGAGGUGCGAAAGCGUGGGUAGCAAACAGGAUUAGAUACCCGAGUAGUC